CUUUGCAAUAUUUCGAUCUGUGUUGGCUCUUCAUUUUCAGUGGCUUGCUGUGUUUAUAAGAAAUGCAACUGGCCAUUUAACAGCACUGAGGCUCAAUGCAAAUGGAUACUAAAAUCCAGAUGGUCAGGAGAAUGAAGACUUCCAUAUGCAAGAAUGACAGCAGUAAGCAUGGCAGUCAUGCUUAGCGUGCUAAACAGAGAGGGCCUGUCAUCUCUCCUUUCUACUUCCUCCCCCAAUCAACCCCCACCUGCCUCGAUCCCACCCAUGCUCUUUGUUCCUAGACUGCACAUCCUGUGUCUUCACUGGGGGCUCUGAGGCUGGAGAUUGAAGCCUGUGAUGAAGAAUAUGCAGUUGAACACUGAUUUAUUCUGUUCUAAGAAGUAAUG